rnacentral:rRNA from 1 species
AGUGAGCGCUGGCGGUAGGCCUAACACAUGCAAGUCGAACGGCAGCACAGUAAGAGCUUGCUCUUACGGGUGGCGAGUGGCGGACGGGUGAGGAAUACAUCGGAAUCUACUUUUUCGUGGGGGAUAACGUAGGGAAACUUACGCUAAUACCGCAUACGACCUACGGGUGAAAGCAGUGGAUCUUCGGACCUUGCGCGAUUGAAUGAGCCGAUGUCGGAUUAGCUAGUUGGCGGGGUAAAGGCCCACCAAGGCGACGAUCCGUAGCUGGUCUGAGAGGAUGAUCAGCCACACUGGAACUGAGACACGGUCCAGACUCCUACGGGAGGCAGCAGUGGGGAAUAUUGGACAAUGGGCGCAAGCCUGAUCCAGCCAUACCGCGUGGGUGAAGAAGGCCUUCGGGUUGUAAAGCCCUUUUGUUGGGAAAGAAAAGCAGCAGGUUAAUACCCCGCUGUUCUGACGGUACCCAAAGAAUAAGCACCGGCUAACUUCGU